AGGCGCCCCCCACAUGUAUGCUCAUCCUCGCUGUCGCUGCAGGGGAAUCCGGUGCGAAUCCGGAACUGUCCCGCAACGGUGUGAAGGGUGCCCAUUCGUGCACCCGGCAGUCCGAUGACCUGCCGACAGUGCGCCCGGACC
rfam:Streptomyces sp. CC53 NODE_323_length_44427_cov_133.574295, whole genome shotgun sequence.